ensembl:lncRNA
GUCAAAGAAGGUUUAACAAGAUUUCAGAAUACACUACUACUAACAAUGGUCCAGUUUUGUAUGCUGGAGAGUGUCCAUAGUGUCUAAAGGUCCAGUAACAGCUCAGCAGUGAGGUGGAAAGGUCCUCAGAAGCCACACAGAGACUGGAGGGCAGAACCGUGCCUGCCCCGUGAACAGCAGACAACGGGCAGAAAUGGCAGCAGCCAACACCUACGGAACAUCAACCAGAACGGCUCCUAGACAAAAAGGUUCUGAGGAAAUGUUUCGCUUCUUGCUCUUUGAAAUGAAUUGGAUGCUUCAUGGCAAUUAGCAAUCGCCGGAGCUGACAGCAACACGCACAUUGCAUGAGGUAGAGAAGGGAGAGAAGAACGAUGUGGUGAGCGAUAACACGGGGAAAUGCAGACGUUACGUUCG